UUUGGCUCUGCUCCUGAGCACCAGAGUCCCUGCAUCCCAGUGUUCCUGCCUCUGCUCUUCUUCCUGCCUUGGCCCCUGCUGGCCUCCUGCGUCUCUACGUCUGGACUCCUGGGUUCCUGCUCCUGCUUUGCUUCUGCUAGCCCCCUGCCUCUGUUCUCCCAGCCUGGUACUCCUGCCUCUGCUUGAUCACAAGUCACGACCCCCUGCACAAUUCCAAAACUUCACAGCCAGAAAUGGAGGCAUAUGAGGAUGGAACUGGAUUUCAUUUUUCCUCGACUCUUUUGACAUUAUGGGAACAAAGCACUGCUCAUGCCAUCAUAUAGCAAAUGUGAGAAGCUGGAUUAUAUGCCAAUUAGUGGAAAAC